rnacentral:rRNA from 1 species
UACGAAGGGUGCAAGCGUUACUCGGAAUACUGGGCGUAAAGCGUGUGUAGGCGGCUACGUAAGUCGGAUGUGAAAGCCCCAGGCUCAACCUGGGAAGUGCACUCGAUACUGCGUAGCUUGAGUAUCGGAGAGUGUGGAGUAUGUGUAGAGGUGAAAUUCGUAGAUAUCGAGAGGAACACCGGUGGCGAAGGCGGCCAACUGGACGAAUACUGACGCUGAGACACGAAGCGUGGGAGCAAACAGG